rnacentral:tRNA from 2 species
GGUAGAUGGCCGAGAGAUAGGCGGCAGGCUGUAGUCCUGAUUACAUUGGUUUAAGUCCUUUUUCUAUCA